rnacentral:rRNA from 1 species
AUUGAACGCUGGCGGCAUGCUUUACACAUGCAAGUCGAGCGGUAACAGGCCUUCGGGUGCUGACGAGUGGCGAACGGGUGAGUAAUGCAUCGGAACGUACCCAGAGGUGGGGGAUAACGCAGCGAAAGCUGUGCUAAUACCGCAUGUGAUCUGAGGAUGAAAGCGGGGGACCGAGCAGCAAUGUUUGGCCUCGCGCCUUUGGAGCGGCCGAUGUCGGAUUAGCUAGUUGGUGGGGUAAAGGCCUACCAAGGCGACGAUCCGUAGCUGGUCUGAGAGGACGACCAGCCACACUGGGACUGAGACACGGCCCAGACUCCUACGGGAGGCAGCAGUGGGGAAUUUUGGACAAUGGGCGCAAGCCUGAUCCAGCAAUGCCGCGUGCGGGAAGAAGGCCUUCGGGUUGUAAACCGCUUUUGGCAGGAACGAAACGGUGUCCGCUAAUACCGGGCGCUAAUGACGGUACCGGCAGAAUAAGCACCGGCUAACUACGUG